rnacentral:rRNA from 1 species
CGCAGAACCUUACCAGCCCUUGACAUACCGGUCGCGGACACAGAGAUGUGUCUUUCAGUUCGGCUGGACCGGAUACAGGUGCUGCAUGGCUGUCGUCAGCUCGUGUCGUGAGAUGUUGGGUUAAGUCCCGCAACGAGCGCAACCCUCGCCCUUAGUUGCCAGCAUUUAGUUGGGCACUCUAAGGGGACUGCCGGUGAUAAGCCGAGAGGAAGGUGGGGAUGACGUCAAGUCCUCGAUGGCCCUUACGGGCUGGGCUACACACGUGCUACAAUGGUGGUGACAGUGGGCAGCGAGCACGCGAGGUGUGAGCUAAUCUCCAAAAGCCAUCUCAGUUCGGAUUGCACUCUGCAACUCGAGUGCAUGAAGUUGGAAUCGCUAGUAAUCGCGGAUCAGCCAUGGCGCGGUGAAUACGUUCCCGGGCCUU